UGAUGUAAGAUUUGCUGUAACUGAAGAAUGCUUAAAUGUCUUGGAGCCACAGAGGAGUGUUUAAAGAAGUACUUGGGAAAUGUGUAUUGUAGCAUUUAAAGUGGAUUUUGAGGGAUAGCUAGAAGUCUCAACAAAGCGUGGAAAGACAGGUUAGGGCGUAUAACACUUAAGCUUUCUAAAGAUCCGAAAAUCUUGUCUGGUUGAAAUUUAGAGAGAACAUUAGAUUACAUGCAUGUGCACGCAUGUGUCUCACAUGACUCCACAUGACUCGACAAGUGCUAGUUUGCAUUUGUCACCUUUAUUCAUUUCAAAGAGACUAGAGCUAUGGCGCAGAUUGUUACUGUUAGAGGUUUAAUCUAAGUUAUCCGAUUAUUAUCAAGGCGCUUUAAAACAUCAAGAAUAACUGAUUAUAACAAGCAACUAUUAAAAAGAAUGCUUUGAAAAAAAUGAGUCUGCUUCAAGAAGGCUGGUAGCAUCUGAUCCUGCUGUUUAGAAAAAGGUAGCACUCACUAAAUUAACCUGGAGUGUGUCGUGUGCAGCUGUGAGCCAGGGGACAGCACCAGACUGAGAAAUGGUGGCAAUUCUGGUUUAUAUCUGGCCUCACAUUUCAUUCUUAUUGGUCUUUUACUAGAUAAAGAUUUUGAAGCCAGAGUCUCUCUAUAAGUAUUCUGUUUCCCAGAGGCUCAGCCACACACAGUGUGUGCAGUUGGCAUGUGGUGAAUGUUCACUGACCCAAUUUCUCAGCCUGCUUCAGCCUCAUACACAGAGCCCAGUGUGCUGGGGCGUCAGGCUGUGGGGCUGUGCACUUAUAAUAUCCAGUCUUUCCAUGGCUGCCAUCUCGUUCAAGUACCAAAUAAAAACAAUACAGAACCUACAUGAUUGGCUCUGAGGUGCAGAGCUCAGCAGGUGCCGGAAGGACUCAUGCCAGCGUCUUGAGGCCUCCUUCAGCAUCCUCACUCAGGUGCUCGGUCAGAUAGGUGAUUGGUACUGUGUUGGUUGUAUUUCCAGGGAUACAGUUGGACCCUGGAUUCUUUGAAUCUAUAUAAUCUGUAGCCAAGGUACAAUGGGUUCCAAUUGUUGUUCCAAUGAGCAUAAAUGUCCUUUUAAUUGAAUACAGUCGUGGGACAGGGGGCUUGUUGAUUUUGAGUAGAGACAUAUGGGCCAGAUGAUUUUUGCAUGAUGUCUCCAUGUUGUAGGGUCAAUGUAGGUAACCCCACAGCCACAUUUUCCCCCCAGAACCAAGGAAUAGAUCAAUUGCUUUAAAAAGGAACAACGAGAAGAAAACACACACAC
rnacentral:lncRNA from 1 species